AUUACCUCAGUAACGGCGAGUGAAGCGGUAACAGCUCAAAUUUGAAAGCUAGCUCUUUUAGGGUUCGCAUUGUAAUUUGUAGAAGAUGCUUCGGGUGUGGCCCCGGUCUAAGUUCCUUGGAACAGGACGUCAUAGAGGGUGAGAAUCCCGUAUGUGACUGGGUGCUUUCGCUCAUGUGAAGCUCUUUCGACGAGUCGAGUUGUUUGGGAAUGCAGCUCAAAAUGGGUGGUAAAUUUCAUCUAAAGCUAAAUAUUGGCCAGAGACCGAUAGCGCACAAGUAGAGUGAUCGAAAGAUGAAAAGCACUUUGGAAAGAGAGUUAAACAGUACGUGAAAUUGUUGAAAGGGAAGCGCUUGCAACCAGACUUGCGCGCUGAUGAUCAUCCGGGCUUCUGCCCGGUGCACUCGUCUGCGCUCAGGCCAGCAUCGGUUUCGGUGGUGGGAUAAAGGCCUUGGGAAUGUAGCUCCUCUCGGGGAGUGUUAUAGCCCUCGGUGCAAUGCCGCCUACCGGGACCGAGGACCGCGCUUCGGCUAGGAUGCUGGCGUAAUGGUUGUAAGCGACCCGUCUUGAAACAC
rnacentral:rRNA from 1 species